UUGAGAGAAGCUUAAGAUUGAAGCUUUAUAUUUUUAAUAUGAUGAUGUGUGUGAUGAACUCCUCUUUUU
rnacentral:tRNA from 1 species